CCACUCGGGACUUGUCUGGACGAGCCGAAACGAGUUAACAUCCCGCACCGCCCGAAGUUUCGAGAAGCGGUGGCGAGAAGCCGGUAAAACUGCCGUCGACAUUGUCUUGUUUCCCUCGUCCGAAAGGAUGUCUUGCUACGUCGUUGAAGUGGCAUGCAGCCGCCGGACUUGUGCUCAGCUGUGCAGCGUCAUAGCCUCUGAUCCACUGCGGCCGGAAUGCGAUGUGGCAGCCCAGCUCCAUACCUGUCGCGCACAUAUCCACGAGAGCAUCGGUGACGGAAGACAGUUUGCCUUGAAGAAAUAAGCAGGUCCUAAUUAAAGAAACAGUACCUUUGAAGUCAAAGUACAUUGCACGUG